rnacentral:rRNA from 1 species
CCCUUCCAGCAGUCCAAGAAUAUUAGUCAAUGCUCGAAAGAGUGAACUAGCUAACUGAAAUCAAUUAUAAUAAUUGAUAACAUAAGGGAAAAUAAUGAUAUUACCUUAUUAUUAGUGUCGUCCAAAACUGGUGCCAGAAGACUCGGUAAGGCCAGAGACACAAACGUUAAUCGUCUUAAUCAGGCGUAAAGGGUUUGUAGGCAGCUUUAAAAUUAGAUUAUUAAAUUAAAUAAAUAAAAAUUAUUAAUUAAUAAUUAAAGACAAAAAGCUAGAAUCAAAAAGAGGAUAUAUUAAAGAAUGCUUAGAGUAGGUCUGAUAUCCUUAGAUACUAAGUAGAAUAUUAAAGGCGAAAGCUUUUUUCCAUUAAUGAUUGACGCUCAGAAACGAAGGUGAGGAUAGGAAAUAGGAUUAGAUACCCAAAAUACCCCUCUCUGUCAACGAUGAAUGGUAAUUAUUAGUAAAAAUUUUAUUAAUGAUAAUGUUAACACGAUAACCAUUCCGCCUUGUGAGUACAACUGCAAAGUUGAAAACAAAAAAAUUAGUCGGUUUCGGAGCAAACGAAGUGAAGCAUGUUAUUUAAUUC